rnacentral:ncRNA from 1 species
AACAGAUUUGGUCCUAGUCUUUUUAUUAACUCUCUCUAUAGUGAUACAUGCAAGCCUUUUGGCAACACUGUGAGUAAUGUCAGGAUAAUUAUCUUUUAGAGAUAGCCCCCAAUAGUAUCAGAAUUUUACCAGAAUCAAAGACACUUAGACACCCACAACUGCAGUACUUGAAAUUAUACAAUAAGCGAAAACUUGAUAUAGUAAUAGAGAAAACAUUCCGGUUAAUUAUGUGCCAGCCACCGCGGUUAUACAUAAGGUAAUAGCUAAUAAAACAUGGUAAAAAAUGUGGUAAGAACUAGUAAAAGUAAAAUAAAGAUGCCCUCUAGCAGUAAUAAGCUAACAGAACUUAAGUUACAAUGACAACAAUAAAAUUUUACCUUCUCUCACCCCACUAAAGCUCUGACAUAAACUGGGAUUAGAUACCCCACUAUAGGAGCUAUAAAACACCACUUCACCCGAGAACUACGAGCGAAAGCUUAAAACUCAAAGGACUUGGCGGUUUUCUAAUUCUUCCUGGAGGAGCUUGCUAUCUAACCGAUAGUCCACGUAACACCUUACCAACUUUUGAAUAAAACAGCCUGUAUACCAUCGUCGUCAGUUUACUUCCCGAGAAAUGUAAACAAAAGGAAUUAAUAAACUUCUUGACGUCAGAUCGAGGUGCAGCUAAUAAGUUGGGGAUAAGUGAGCUACAAUUAUAGAGAUAAAGUUAAAACCUAUAUCUGAAUAACGGGCUGAUAAGCCCGUUUGAAACAGGAUUCAGCAGUAAUGGGUAACAGAAAAUACCCAUGAACCAACCCCGAAGCUCUAGAAUGCGCACACAUCGCCCGUCACUCUCGUCACCAGAGGAGAAAAGUCGUAACAAAGUAGGCGUAUUGGAAAAUGCGCCUGGAAUAAA